rnacentral:lncRNA from 1 species
UAAUUUUCUAUGAACCCGGUGGCAAAUUCAAAGCAUCUAAGGAAGAGGAAGAGAUUGUGGAUUUCCGUGGGAGAAGCAUGGCUGAAGACCAGAGUGUCAUCUGCGUAUUGGAGGUGAAAAACUGGGGGAGCCCCAAGUCCCAUAGAGAAGCCAUGCAACAAAUCUGCAGCAUACAUACUGUCAAAAGACUGGUUAAAAACGUUUGUCGAGAUAGC